CGUCACACUCAUGAAUGUGUUGACAGAAAGGAUUCACAUUGAUUGCGCCUUAUAUUUUGUGUUCUUUGCGAGUUCUUUAGUUGUCAUUUGAUAGCUGAGUUUUCCCAUAGAUUCUGUUUCUUGAAAAUGCAAAACUCUUUUGGAAAGACGGACUGCUGUGGAAAUCUUGCCAAUGGAAUUUGCUACGAGCUCAUACCUCUUGAAGUAGAUGAUGUGUUAACUACUUGUACCACGAAAAUACACGCAAGGGAAUGCGAUGCUUUCUUACGUUCUCACUCUGUGGAAGGACAUCAGUAAACAGGCACGGGAGCCAGUCGACAAAAUCUUGGUGGUGAAGAUUUAUUGUGCAGCACAUUUUAGUUCAGGCGCCACUGUAUAGACUGGUUUUGGACCAAAAACCAGGAACAUUCAGUUGUGCGUUUUACAGGAUUCGAACCACGGAUUUUUCUCUUGCUAACUGGAGAUGUUAACCCACCAGGAGAGCCACGUAGGGGUGUACGAUAAUUUCUUACUAAGUUAACAAGAGUAUAGAGAAAAUAUUGCUAAAUUUUAAGCUCAAAAUGUAUGUUUCGGAUGCUUUUUAAAAUCUGUGACCUUAAUAAAUAACAUUUAUGUAAAUAUGAUAAAAGAAUAAUGAAAAAAACUGAAUAAAUUACUUAUGUUGCAUAAACCUUCCAGGCAAAUCGGAAAAGUUGUUAGUAAUGUAUUGCUGAUUAAAUUCCUGAAGAAUUUGUUACAACAUUUUAUAACUGUUUAGAUAAAAAUUGCUUAAUGUUAAAAAUACUAAUAUUAUUUCAAAAUCAGUGCUAUAACGCGAAAAUACAUAUUUCAAAAUCAGUGCUAUAACGCGAAAGUCUGUUUGGACUGCUCGGAAUCACUUUGCAUCAUAUUAAGGCAAAUAUCAUAAAGAUACCUACACGAGGUUGUAAACGAGGUGUCACGAAAGCUUUCAUUAACAAUUGGUUCUAUUAUUUUUUUUUAGAAAAUUCGUAAUUUGUUAUACGAUCCCCUUACAAGUGGACAAUGCGUCCAAUUUGCUCUUAGCGUUGCUUUCUGAGGCGUGAAUUUUCUUUCAGUAUUGUGUAAUUUGUUCCGACAGCUUUUCUGACAUUCAGAUAUUUGACAUUCGAAACAGAUUCUAACUGUCAACUGAGAAGUUAUGCGAAUUUUCUCAUGCAAAAGGAAAGAUGUGAGAUAGCAAAGGAAAAACAGGGAAAAGAAAAACAACCCGAGUUUACUGAGAAAUUAAUUUAGUUUCGUUAUCAAAAUUUCUGUAGCGCUAGAUGAUUUUAACGAGCUUGUAAGAUCGCAAAAUUAAUCUUUAAUACAGUAAGCUUUCGUAAACCUUACUGUUAUCCGAUUUAUUAGCAGACAUCUGUAAAAUAUAUUAAUGCAAAUGUGGAUAAUAAUAUAUAUUAAUCCACGAUGUUUUUAAAUUUUAAGAUUAAAUAAGACGUUCGAGCAUUUUUAAUAAUCAAAGUCAUGAUUAAAUGAUCAUGAUUAAUCCACAAUUUCCAAUUUAU